rnacentral:rRNA from 1 species
AGUGAACGCUGGCGGUAUGCCUAACACAUGCAAGUCGAACGGCAGCACAGUAAGAGCUUGCUCUUACGGGUGGCGAGUGGCGGACGGGUGAGGAAUACAUCGGAAUCUACUUUUUCGUGGGGGAUAACGUAGGGAAACUUACGCUAAUACCGCAUACGACCUACGGGUGAAAGCAUGGGAUCUUCUGACCUUGCGCGAUUGAAUGAGCCGAUGUCGGAUUAGUUAGUUGGCGGGGUAAAGGCCCACCAAGGCGACGAUCCGUAGCUGGUCUGAUAGGAUGAUCAGCCACACUGGAAGUGAGAGACGGUCCAGACACCGACGGGAGGCAGCAGUGGGGAAUAUUGGCAGAAGGGCGCAAGCCUGAUCCAGGCAUGCAGCGUGGGUGAAGAAGGCCUGCGGGUUGUAAAGCCCUUUGUUGGGAAAGAAAAGCAGCAGGUUAAUACCACGCUGUUCUGACGGUACCCAAAGAAUAAGCACCGGCUAACUUCGUG